rnacentral:rRNA from 1 species
UACGUAGGGUGCAAGCGUUAUCCGGAUUUAUUGGGCGUAAAGGGCUCGUAGGCGGUUCGUCGCGUCCGGUGUGAAAGUCCAUCGCUUAACGGUGGAUCCGCGCCGGGUACGGGCGGGCUUGAGUGCGGUGAGGGGAGACGUGGAAUUCCCGGUGUAACGGUGGAAUGUGUAGAUAUCGGGAAGAACACCAAUGGCGAAGGCAGGUCUCUGGGCCGUUACUGACGCUGAGGAGCGAAAGCGUGGGGAGCGAACAGG